rnacentral:tRNA from 1 species
GAGUUUUAAAUAGAAUUAUCUAUGUUUGAUUGCGGUUCAAAAUGUUUAAACUUA